AGGACGACUGAGAAAACGGAGAGUCCCGUUCGGAGGACUUAAAAACACCGAACGCCUUGCCAAGAGGUAAACUUGGUAGUUAUCCUUUUCCUUUCAAUAGUUUGCUUAGUUAAUCAGGUUCAUGCUAUCUUGAAAAGAAAACAAAAAUGUUAAAAAUAGUAACGCCCAUGUGAGUAGACUUGUGGUUUAAAAACCCAUAGGUAUAUUGACUGUGGUGGCAUAAAAUAAAUAUGUUUUCAUCUUACAAUAAAAAUAUAAAUAAUAAGUGCAUGAUCCUGCUAAAUAAAAUUUAUUAGGAGGAAGCUCAAUAUGAUAAAGGCAAAGAGAUUUUAUGCUAACACUUAACCAGUUCCACAAAGCUUUGUAGUCUAUUUGAGCUCCACAGAAUUCAAGGAUCAAAGAAGACUAGCAGACGGAGGACGUCCUAAUCGCUGUCCGGGUGCCGCCGACUUUCAAAUACACCUCGAACACCUGCUAGCUACAUUAGAAGAAAUUACGUCAAAAUCCAGCUUGGGGGAGAGCACCCCCAUUUAUCCAGCUAAGUGUUUCUACUCGCGUUUAUACUUUACUGAAAUAAUAAAAAGAUGCAUAAUCAUGAAAACCCAAACAGAAAUUUCGUGUUUAUAUAUAUCUUUGCUUAGUUUGCUAAAUAAAUAAAUAAAGAGUCUAGGCCAAACUGAACCCUUAUGAUAAACUCUUACAUGAACAUGAUAAAUAGUUGCUCCGCCAUGUACCUAGAUUUCAAGUUUGAAAUCUCUCUCAAGUUUAGGCAUAACUGUUAUAAUUUAAACCUGUUCUAAACCUGAACCUGUGGGAAGAGUACUUGAUCUAAAGUCUAAGUCGUUAACGGAUGUGAUAUGGAAGGUUGAGCUGCUGUUUAUCUGUUCCUAGAGAUGCUAGAAUUAUAGAGAAUUUUAUCUUUGAAAAUCUUUAAAAUAACACAUGAUGAGUUCCUGUAUGAUGAGAGUUUAAAAUCCUACCACAGCCAUAUAUACAUGCUUAUUAGACUUUGAGCCACACAUUUAUUUUUACUGCUUAUAAGCGUUGAGUGUGGUCAAGCUGUGUAGACCCUUAGGAGCUUGUCAUGUGGUUAAAAUCAAGAUUCACUUGCACGUUCACUCACACAUAUUGCUUCUACUCCGGACGUACGCAUCCACAUAUAUCCACUCACUUCCAUCUCCAGAGCCACCCAAAAGUAUUCUACUCCUAAUCCGGGAGAGAAUAGCCAAAAACAUUUCUAUUUUUCCUGUGAAAUAAAUGCUCAAGUUAUCUUGGUUACUACCACUUGCUAUAUUAUUUAAGGAGAUGAGUGCUCUAAAAAAAAGAGAAUACGAGGAAAUUAAAAGGGGCAAGUGCCCGAAACCUCGAAGAAAAGAAAAAGUAAGAUGAGAGGUAAAAAUAGACAAGUGUUCCACCAUAGAAUAUAGGGGUACAAGAUACCCACCUCAGAGAAAAGAGAAAAAAAAAGAAAAUAUAGAGCAUCUCAUUCUCCUCAAAAAGCUUCAAAGUACAAGAAAGGUAUGUAUCCCCUAAAAAGAGCAAAAGUAGAAUUAGACUUUCACCAUUAUUAUCACCAUCAUCAACAUACACCAUUCAUUCGCCACACAUGCACAUCUUGAUUUGACUUAUUGACUUGUUUCUCCAGAUCCAUGGUUUGACUAUGCAAUAAAUGUCAUGUAAGUAUGUAUUAUCUGUCUCCCACCUAUGAGCUCCAGAUAUCAAAACCUUAUUAGAGUAGGGUGAGAGAGAAGGCAAUAUCACUAUGCGUCAUACCAAAAAAAUACCACAUACUUCGAGAGAAGGCAUAUACCAUUACUGCCUGGGAAAGGAUCCAGAAAUACCACAAAAGAGAGAUUUGAGAGAGUCAUACAAGGAAUCUCUAAGUUUUAUUUGAAAAUCUGAAAAAACUCUAGAGCUAUAACUGAUGAAAGAACAAGAGACAUGGCGCUUGACUAGACUGUUCUAUCUUUUAACUGCUCAAGACACAAGUGACAGUUGCAAACCCCAUGGUGAAAGGUAAAAUGAGUAAGUUUUAAGUCUUAACAGUUUACUCUAACUCAGAGAUGAGAUCUUACUUUUAAGGCAUGAAACCACUGCAGAAACUCUUGAGUUCAUCCUUGCUCAGGGACGAGCAAGAGGUAAGCUUGGGGGAGUUGUUGACGGUCCUUAAGUACCAAAUAUAAUCAUCAAAUAAAUAAAGAAAAGGAUCCAAAUGCAACCAACACCCAGACUUAGGGUUUUAUCUGACAGAAUUCCACGAGUUUUGGUGUUUGUCUAUUUCUGCAGGGGGUUAUCAGGAAAUACGGAAGAAAGGCCCACACGUCGGGUUUACAUAGAGAUAUUAACGCACCACGCAAUUUUCUACCAUCUAGAAGACUCCAGAAGCCACGGGAACGAACGGGAAGGCGAUCGGGCCCGGGGGCAGGGCGCCCGCCCUCCCCCCUUGGGCGCCCGCCCUGUCCCAGAGUCCAAUCCGGACUCUCUUCGGGGAUUACACUCCACCGACCUAAAGGAUCAAAGAUAACCGUUCAAUCAAUGUCGGUUUGAUCCGAUGGCCCAGAUUCACCUCAGGGGACUAUAUAAGCAGACACCCUGGCCCCUAGAGGAGAACAAGUUCAUCAUAGAGUUGAGAGGAGCCCUCGAAGGAAUACCUCUCCUCUAAAUAGACUUAGGGCUUCGCAUCCAAUGUGAGAGUAGACUAGAUCUACUAGAUUGAGAGAGAUAGAGUGGAG
rnacentral:lncRNA from 1 species